AGUGAACGCUGGCGGUAGGCCUAACACAUGCAAGUCGAACGGCAGCACAGUAAGAGCUUGCUCUUACGGGUGGCGAGUGGCGGACGGGUGAGGAAUACAUCGGAAUCUACUUUUUCGUGGGGGAUAACGUAGGGAAACUUACGCUAAUACCGCAUACGACCUACGGGUGAAAGCAGGGGAUCUUCGGACCUUGCGCGAUUGAAUGAGCCGAUGUCGGAUUAGCUAGUUGGCGGGGUAAAGGCCCACCCAGGCGACGAUCCGUAGCUGGUCUGAGAGGAUGAUCGGCCACACUGGAACUGAGACACGGUCCAGACUCCUACGGGAGGCAGCAGUGGGGAAUAGUGGACAAUGGGCGCAAGCCUGAUCCAGCCAGACCGCGUGGGUGAAGAAGGCCUUCGGGUUGUAAAGCCCUUUUGUUGGGAAAGAAAAGCAGCAGGUUAAUACCCCGCUGUUCUGACGGUACCCAAAGAAUAAGCACCGGCUAACUUCGUG
rnacentral:rRNA from 1 species